CGCUUCCCAGUGCUUCCCAGUGCUUCCCAGUGCUUCCCUGUGCUUCCCCAUGCCUCCCAGUGCUUCCCAACCCCUCCCAGUGCCUUCCAGUCCUUCCCAGCACAUCCCGGCCUCCCAACACUUCCCAGUACCUCCCAGCUCCUCCCAGCUCCUCCCAGUGCUUCCCAGUGCCUCCCAGUGCUUCCCAGUGCUUCCCAGUGCCUCCCAGUGCUUCCCAGUGCCUCCCAGUGCCUCCCAGUGCCUCCCAGUUCUUCCCAGCUCUUCCCAGUGCUUCCCAGCCCUUCCCAGUGCUUCCCAGUGCUUCCCAGUGCUUCCCAGUGCUUCCCAGUGCUUCCCCGUGCUUCCCAGCACAUCCCAGUUCUUCCCAGUGCUUCCCAGUGCUUCCCAACCUCUCCCAGUGCUUCCCAGUGCUUCCCAACCCCUCCCAGUGCCUCCCAGCUCCUCCCAGUGCUUCCCCAUGCUUCCCAGCCCUUCCCAGAGCUUCCCAGCCCUUCCCAGUGCUUCCCAGCCCUUCCCAGUGCUUCCCAGUGCUUCCCAGUGCUUCCCAACCCCUCCCAGUGCUUCCCAGUGCUUCCCAGCUCCUCCCAGCUCCUCCCAGUCCUUCCCAGCACAUCCCAGCCCUUCCCAGUGCUUCCCAGCACCUCCCGACCUCCCAGCACUUCCCAGUGCUUCCCCAGUGUUUCCCAGCCCUUCCCAGUGCUUCCCAGCUCCUCCCAGUGUUUCCCAGUGCUUCCCAGUCCCUCCCAGUCCCUCCCAGUCCCUCCCAGUCCGUCCCAGCUCCGGUUUCCCUGCAGAAGCAGAGUCAGAAAGCCGACGAGUACCUGCGGGAGAUCCGGGAGCAGCAGCUGCUCCCCGAGGCCGUGGGCCAGUGCAUCGAGGCCGCGGGCUACGAGCACGAGCCCGACACGCAGAAAUCCCUGCUGAGGAUCCUGCCCUGUCCCAUGGGAUGUUCCAGAUCCUUCUUCAUCCCAUGGAAUGUUCCAGGUCCUGCCCUGUCCCAUGGAAUGUUCCAGGUCCUGCCCUGUCCCAUGGAAUGUUCCAGAUCCUUCCCUGUCCCGUGGAAUGUUCCGGCUCCUUCUUCAUCCCAUGGGAUGUUCCAGAUCCUUCCCUGUCCCAUGCGAUGUUCCAGAUCCUUCCUUAUCCCAUGGAAUGUUCCUGAUCUUUCCUUAUCCCCUGGGAUGUUCCAGAUCCUGCCCUGUCCCAUGGAAUGUUCCAGAUCCUUUCCCUGUCCCGUGGAAUGUUCCAGAUCCUUCCCUGUCCCGUGGAAUGUUCCAGGUCCUUCCUUAUCCCAUGGAAUGUUCCAGAUCCUUUCCCUGUCCCAUGGAAUGUUCCAGAUCCUUCCUCAUCCCAUGGAAUGUUCCAGAUCCUGCCCUGUCCCAUGGAAUGUUCCAGAUCCUUCUUGUGUCCCAUGGGAUGUUCCCAGAUCUUUCCUUAUCCCAUGGAAUGUUCCAGGUCCUUUCCCUGUCCCAUGGAAUGUUCCAGAUCCUGCCCUGUCCCAUGGGAUGUUCCCAAUCCUUUUCCUGUCCCAUGG
rnacentral:lncRNA from 1 species